UCGAACGAUAAGGCGUCUUCGGACGUACAUAAGUGGCGGACGGGUGAGUAAAAUGUAGAGAAUCUGCCCUAGAGAGGGGGACAACCGUUGGAAACGACAGCUAAUACCCCAUAUGAGCGUAGCUGAAAUGGCUAUUCUUGAAAACUCCGGUGCUCUGGGAUGAGUCUGCAUCUGAUUAGCUAGUUGGGGGUGUAAUGGACCACCAAGGCGAUGAUCAGUAGCUGGUUUGAGAGGAUGAUCAGCCACAAUGGGACUGAGACACGGCCCAUACUCCUACGGGAGGCAGCAGUAGGGAAUUUUGCGCAAUGGGGGAAACCCUGACGCCAGCAACGCCGCGUGACCGAUGAAGCCCUUCGGGGUGUAAAGGUCUGUCAGUGGGGACGAACAAUGACGGUACCCACAGAGGAAGCACCGGCUAACUCCGUGCCAGCCGCUGC
rnacentral:rRNA from 1 species